UACGGGGGGGGCAAGCGUUGUUCGGAAUUACUGGGCGUAAAGGGCUCGUAGGCGGCCAACUAAGUCAGACGUGAAAUCCCUCGGCUUAACCGGGGAACUGCAUUUGAUACUGGAUGGCUUGAGUUCGGGAGAGGGAUGCGGAAUUCCAGGUGUAGCGGUGAAAUGCGUAGAUAUCUGGAGGAACACCGGUGGCGAAGGCGGCAUCCUGGACCGACACUGACGCUGAGGAGCGAAAGCCAGGGGAGCAAACGGG
rnacentral:rRNA from 1 species